rnacentral:tRNA from 1 species
GGCUUUAUAGUCAACAAUGAUAUUAGACUGCAAUUCUAAAGGAGUAUAAUUAUACUAAGGCUU